AGUUGCUCACCAAGAGGCCGAGGACUUUUUGCUGAAUGGACGACUCGUUAGGGAAGGACUGGGGAGAAAGGGCAAAACAAAGAGACAGCAGGCAGUUCUUCUGCAACUGGAAAUCGGAGAGGAACAUCAUGCAUGUGGCUGUCAUUGCAAAUUGAACAACAAAUGAGAUGCAGCACUAACAGAAACAUGUCUCUACCUGCUGGUGGUUGGGGAAUGUCCUCAUGGCCUCCAGCAGGAGCUGAGUGACUGUACUGAGCAGGCGGACCGGC